rnacentral:rRNA from 1 species
UACGGAGGGUGCGAGCGUUGUCCGGAAUCACUGGGCGUAAAGGGCGCGUAGGCGGCCUGGUAAGUAGGGGGUGAAAUCCUGCGGCUUAACCGCAGGGCUGCCUUCUAAACUGUCAGGCUCGAGCACAGUAGAGGCAGGUGGAAUUCCCGGUGUAGCGGUGGAAUGCGUAGAGAUCGGGAAGAACAUCAGUGGCGAAGGCGGCCUGCUGGGCUGUUGCCGACGCUGAGGCGCGACAGCGUGGGGGAGCAAACAGG